rnacentral:misc_RNA from 1 species
GUGAAUCAUCGAAUUUUUGAACGCAAAUUGCACUCUCUUCGGAGAGUAUGCCUGUUUGAGGGUCAGCCUAAAAAAAAUCGACAUAGUCGCUGUUUCGCGGUGACAUUCGUCGGAAAUUGGGUCAUCUUAAACCUUUGGGUUUUAAGCGGCUUAAAAUUUUCUUUACGAUUCCACGAACGUUUCUAAGUUUAAUUUUUUACCGUUUUAAGUAAUUGAUUUUUUAUUAGCCGUGGC